rnacentral:rRNA from 1 species
AGGAUAAACGCUGGCGGCGUGCCUAACACAUGCAAGUCGAACGCCCUUUUGUGCCGCAAGGUGGAAGAGGGAGUGGCGGACGGGUGAGGAACACGUGGGUGACCUACCUUUCAGUGAGGAAUACCGGCGAGAAAUCGCCGACAAGACCGCAUACGGUUGCUGCAUCAGCGCAGCAACGAAAGCUUCACGAGAGUGAGGCGCUGGAAGAUGGGCCUGCGGCCGAUUAGCUAGCUGGUGGGGUAACGGCCUACCAGGGCGACGAUCGGUAGCUGGUCUGAGAGGACGAUCAGCCACACUGGGAUUGAGAACGGCCCAGACUCCUACGGGGGGCAGCAGUGAGGAAUUUUCCGCAAUGGGCGAAAGCCUGACGGAGCGACGCCGCGUGUGGGAAGAAGGCCUUCGGGUCGUAACCACUGUCGAAGGGGAAGAUAUUGACGGUACCCUUGGAGGAAGCCCGGCUAACUACGUGCCAGCAGCCGC